rnacentral:snRNA from 17 species
AUACUUACCUUGUUGUCCUUUCCGUGAUCAAGCAUACGGGCAAGGGACUGGGAGAAGCUGGCAUUGCACGCCCGACCCGCUUUCGUCGCUCCCUUCGGGGAUGGAACUGGCUUCACCUAGCCGCUGCGCUCCUCUGGGGUGCAGCGCAACCUAAUCUUUUAAAGUGGCUUCGCCCCUUUCGGGGGGUGAAGCCU